AAUUGUUCGCAAUGGGCGCAAGCCUGACGCAGCGACGCCGCGUGGGGGAUGGAGGUCUUCGGAUUGUAAACCCCUUUCGGCAGGGAAGAUGGAGCGGGCAACCGUUCGGACGGUACCUGCAGAAGCAGCCACGGCUAACUUCGUGCCAGCAGCCGCGGUAAUACGAAGGUGGCAAGCGUUGUUCGGAUUCACUGGGCGUACAGGGAGCGUAGGCGGUUAGGUAAGCCCUCCGUGAAAUCUCCGGGCCUAACCCGGAAAGUGCAGAGGGGACUGCUUGGCUAGAGGAUGGGAGAGGAGCGCGGAAUUCCCGGUGUAGCGGUGAAAUGCGUAGAGAUCGGGAGGAAGGCCGGUGGCGAAGGCGGCGCUCUGGAACAUUUCUGACGCUGAGGCUCGAAAGCGUGGGGAGCAAAC
rnacentral:rRNA from 1 species